GUGAGGAAUAUUGCGCAAUGGAGGCAACUCUGACGCAGCCAUGCCGCGUGCAGGAAGAAGGCGCUACGCGUUGUAAACUGCUUUUAACCGGGAAGAAACCCCAGGACGUGUCCUGGGUUGACGGUACCGGAGGAAUAAGCACCGGCUAACUUCGUGCCAGCAGCCGCGGUAAUACGAAGGGUGCAAGCGUUAUCCGGAUUCAUUGGGUUUAAAGGGUGCGUAGGCGGAGCGUUAAGUCAGUGGUGAAAUCCUGCAGCUUAACUGUAGACUUGCCAUUGAUACUGGCGCUCUUGAGUGCGCUUGAAGUGGGCGGAAUGUGCCGUGUAGCGGUGAAAUGCUUAGAUAUGUCACAGAACACCGAUAGCGAAGGCAGCUCACUAAGGCGAUACUGACGCUGAGGCACGAAAGCGUGGGGAUCGAACAGGAUUAGAUACCCCUGUAGUCC
rnacentral:rRNA from 1 species